GUAGGUGGCAAGCGUUGUCCGGAAUUAUUGGGGCGUAAAGCGCGCGCAGGCGGUCCUUUAAGUCUGAUGUGAAAGCCCACGGGCUCAACCGUGGAGGGUCAUUGGAAACUGGGGGACUUGAGUGCAGAAGAGGAGAGUGGAAUUCCACGUGUAGCGGUGAAAUGCGUAGAGAUGUGGAGGAACACCAGCGGCGAAGGCGACUCUCUGGUCUGUAACUGACGCUGAGGCGCGAAAGCGUGGGGAGCGAACAGGAUUAGAUACCCUGGUAGUCCACGCCGUAAACGAUGAGUGCUAAGUGUUAGAGGGUUUCCGCCCUUUAGUGCUGCAGCUAACGCAUUAAGCACUCCGCCUGGGGAGUACGGUCGCAAGACUG
rnacentral:rRNA from 1 species